UGAACCUGCGGAAGGAUCAUUACCGAGUUGAUUCGAGCUCCGGCUCGACUCUCCCACCCUAUGUGUACCUACCUCUGUUGCUUUGGCGGGCCGCGGUCCUCCGCACCGGCGCCCUUCGGGGGGCUGGCCAGCGCCCGCCAGAGGACCAUAAAACUCCAGUCAGUGAACUUCGCAGUCUGAAAAACAAGUUAAUAAACUAAAACUUUCAACAACGGAUCUCUUGGUUCUGGCAUCGAUGAAGAACGCAGCGAAAUGCGAUAAGUAAUGUGAAUUGCAGAAUUCAGUGAAUCAUCGAAUCUUUGAACGCACAUUGCGCCCCUUGGUAUUCCGAGGGGCAUGCCUGUUCGAGCGUCAUUUCAACCCUCAAGCUCUGCUUGGUAUUGGGCCCCGUCCUCCACGGACGCGCCUUAAAGACCUCGGCGGUGGCGUCUUGCCUCAAGCGUAGUAGAAAACACCUCGCUUUGGAGCGCACGGCGUCGCCCGCCGGACGAACCUUUGAAUUAUUUCUCAAGGUUGACCUCGGAUCAGGUAGGAAUACCCG
rnacentral:rRNA from 1 species